GCAGACAUAGCUCAGAUGGCAAGAGCCACCGGUUUUAUUGGGCCGGGAGUAAGGGUCGCGGGUUCGAGCCCCGCUGUCUGCGCCA
rnacentral:tRNA from 2 species